rnacentral:rRNA from 1 species
GACGAACGCUGGCGGCGUGCUUAACACAUGCAAGUCGAACGGAAAGGGCCUGCUUUUGUGGGGUGCUCGAGUGGCGAACGGGUGAGUAACACGUGAGUAACCUGCCCUUGACUUUGGGAUAACUUCAGGAAACUGGGGCUAAUACCGGAUAGGAGCUCCUGCUGCAUGGUGGGGGUGGGAAAGUUUCGGCGGUUGGGGAUGGACUCGCGGCUUAUCAGCUUGUUGGUGGGGUAGUGGCUUACCAAGGCUUUGACGGGUAGCCGGCCUGAGAGGGUGACCGGCCACAUUGGGACUGAGAUACGGCCCAGACUCCUACGGGAGGCAGCAGUGGGGAAUAUUGCACAAUGGGCGGAAGCCUGAUGCAGCAACGCCGCGUGCGGGAUGACGGCCUUCGGGUUGUAAACCGCUUUCGCCUGUGACGAAGCGUGAGUGACGGUAAUGGGUAAAGAAGCACCGGCUAACUACGUG